GUUGAAUAUUUAGAGAUUAGAUUGUUUAUCUGAGAAUAAAAUAUAAAUUAAUAUCAAAGAGAAAAUUCAGCUUAUAUUUUACAAAUAAAAUAUUUCAUGAAAAAUUGAAGUAAUUUUUAAUAGUUGGAUUAUUUGUUGAAUAACGUAUUUUUGUAGUGUCUUUGCGUCUUUUUCAUAUUUUUUUUACAGAAGCCAUAGAGUGAUAAUUUGAAAUGUGAUUUUAUCAAAAAUAUGUGUUCGAUAAUAUGAAAUUAAUGUUGGUAGUUAGCCGCUAAAUCGCAAAUAUGGUAUGGAAAGACACCUGUUGAAAUAAGCAAAAUUGUUAUAAAAUUGUCUUUAGAAGAUUCUUUUGUGAAAUUGCUUCAAUAUUAUUUGUUGGGAAGAAUAAA